GCGCAUUCUUCUAAUGAAUAGGAUACUUCCCUUGCUGUUUAUCUGUACCACUAAACAAUAUAAAAUUUAUUUCUAAAACUACUUUUGUAGGGCCUGCUAUGGUGUUUUGAGGUUUGUUAUGGAAAAUGGCGCCAAGGGAUGCGAGGUCAUCGUUAGUGGAAAGUUGAGGGCUCAGCGCGCUAAAUCCAUGAAGUUCAAGAAUGGGUACAUGAUUUCCUCAGAGCAACCAGUCAAGGAC